UACGUAGGUGGCAAGCGUUGUCCGGAUUUAUUGGGUUUAAAGGGUGCGUAGGCGGCUGUUUAAGUCAGUGGUGAAAGCCGAUCGCUUAACGAUCGAACUGCCAUUGAUACUGAAUAGCUUGAGUACAGAUGAGGUAGGCGGAAUUGACAGUGUAGCGGUGAAAUGCAUAGAUAUUGUCAAGAACACCGAUUGCGAAGGCAGCCUACUAAAGUGUCACUGACGCUGAGGCACGAAAGUGCGGGGAUCAAACAGG
rnacentral:rRNA from 1 species